AGCAGGCAUCACCGGUGAGAUUAACGGUGCCGAGUCCGGAGAUCCCGUAACCGGAGUAGGAGCAAGUAGCGGUGAUGUGUCUGCACCGAGCGAGGGAGCAGGCGCCGGCGAAUCUGUGGCGAAGGUGAGUUCAAAAACUAAGAAAAAAGCAAUGGUGAGAAAUUCAAAAGUUGCCAUUUCUGCAGAUCUGAUUUUUUAAAAAUUGAUACAAGUAAAAGAAGUUUCAAAGUGGAGAUGCAGAGGAAUGAAUUUAAGAACAAAAAAGAAAAACGGGGUAGAUCUAGUGGAACGGAAAUUUAGGGGGUAAAAUAAUGUAAAAUUUUGUGUACACGUCAGACGGCACGUAAAAAGAGAAAGUGCCGAACAAAGAGAAAAAGCUUAAAUUUGAAAUACAAUUUUAAAAAUAUUAACUAACACUAACUCAAUUUUAAAAACAGAAAGUACCAAAUUUUAGACCGUAUUGAUAUGCUUGGACUUGGCUAGAAAAAUGGGUUCAAGUUUUUGUUCAAACUCAACUUAGAUAAAACUGUUAAAAUUUGGGUUUGACCCGUAUUAAAUUAUAUAUAUUUAAAAAAUAUAAUACAUUAAAAAUAUUAAAAAAUAUUUUUCAACAAAUUAAAAAUAAAAAAAAUAUUUAUAUUUAAAUAACACUAAGAUAUGUGCAACUUAAUAAAUAAAUAUAUCUGAAUAGUAGCAAAAUUAACAAUAAAAUAAGAAUUAUAUAAUAUCCAAAUAAUAACAAUAAAAUAAUAACAACAUAAUAGUAAAAUGACAACAAUACAAUAAAAAAACAAUGAAGAAAAUAACAACAAAGUAGUGGAAAAUUGCAGCAAAAUAACAAUUUUGUUUUGCAAAGUUGGGUCGAGCCUAGACUCAAAAAACCUUCCUCGAGGCCCGAUCCAUUUUCUAAAUGAGUUUUAUUUUUUUUGCUAGAACCUAUUUUUUGAGCCUAUAUUUUUACUCAAACCCUCUCACUUUUCGAGUAGCCUGUCUCAUGAACAAGUCUAACUAUACUACAUUUAGUAUUGUUUAUUUGAUGUAUUUAAAUUUCGUUAUAUUCAUAAUUUAAUCUGUUUUUAUUUUAAUAUUGUACAUAUUUCAUGUUUUAUUAUAAUUAAUUAAUUUCAAACCAUACAUUUAUUAUAUGUUAAUUUUAAAUACAUAUAUGCAUUUUAAAGGACAAAUAACCAAAAAAAGCCCUUUUUUCAAAAAUUACCGAAAUGGAUCAAUUAUUUAAUUAUUUACCGGAAUGGUCCAUUUUUCGUGAAAUCGCGUUCACGUCAGCCCGAUUUGCUUACGUGGACACAAAUCGCGCCCUCUAGGACGCGAUUUGCUGACGUGGAUGAACAGUUUCUCAUUUUUAGCUUGAAAAACUUUAAAAGGCCAUAACUUUUCGCUUGGUUGUCCGAUUGAGACGAAUUUUUUUUUGAUUUCGAAUAAAUUUUCGAGAUCUACGCGCUGACAAAUAGCCAAAGGCGGUUUGCAGAACUUUUUGUCAAAAAAUAUCCCCUUUUGCCCCUAAAUUUUGAUUUUUUCGGUUUAAAAUUAAAUUUUGAAACAUUCAAAUCAUUAUUUUCCUUAUUUAUUUAAAGUAAACACCAGAUUUUUUUUUACAGAAUUGUUGUAUUAUUUCUUCUGAUUUGACACGUGUAUGGAAUAGGUCCGAUAAAUCGUUAGAACGUAAGUAAUAUAAUUAAGAUAAUAACAAUAUUUUUAUAAUAUAUUAAUUAAUUAGUUUAGCUUAGUUGGUUAAGAUGCUUGCUCUUUUCCCUUAAUACCUUGGUUCGAAUUUUAUUGGUAACAAUUUUAAAUCUUUUUUGAAUCAAUAGCAACAAGUACAAAAAAGGAAUUAUUAUGAAAUUUGCUAUGCCAUAUCCUCUUUGCGUUCCUCAAAUGGCAGAUUGUGAUUUUCUCCAAUUUAGGAAAAGCAACCUGCAUAAUGAUAGAAAGUGCUAAUUACAAUUAGAAAUAACUUAUAUAAAAUGUUAGCUCAUCGAUGCUUAGGCAAAGGCAUCAGUAACUCAUAUAAUUAAGACAUUUAGAAUCAUUGGUUGUUUGAGAAGAACUUAAAUGAAUUUAAUAUAAAAUUAUAUUCAGUUGACUUUUCUGUACGUAACUAUUAACAUAUACACACACUACAAAUAAUGAUUUGAAUGUUUCAAAAUUUAAUUUUAAAUCGAAAAAAUCAAAAUUUAGGGACAAAAAGGGAUCUUUUUCGACGAAAAGUGCGGCAAACCACCUUUGACAGUUUGUCAGCGCGUAGAUCUCGAAAAGUUAUUCGAAAUAAAAAAAAUCGUCUCAAUCGGACAACCGAGCAAAAAGUUAUGGCCUUUCAAAGUUUUCCAAGCUAAAAAUGAGAAAUUGUUCAUCCACGUCAGCAAAAUCGCGUCCUAGAGGGCGCGAUUUGUGUCCACGUAAGCAAAUCGCGCUGACGUGGAUGCGAUUUCACGGAAAAUGGACCAUUCCGAUAAAUAAUUAAAUAAUUGGACCAUUUUGGUAAUUUUUGAAAAAUAAUGACUUUUUUUGGUCAUUUGCCCCAUUUUAAAUAUUUAGUUUAUAGAAUUUCUAAUUUUUAUCUAAACUACUUAAUAUAUAUUAGAAAUUAUAUUACACUUAUAUACAUACAAAAACUACAUAUUUAGAAUAUAUGUUAUGUUUAAAAAUAAAAAAUAAUAAAUAAUUAAGCAUAUGAUUUAAAGCUAAUUAAUAAAAAAAAUAUAAAAGUAUUUUUGUUCUCUUUAAUAUUUUGUAUAAAACUUAUAAAGUUAAUUUAAACUCAAAAUAAAUCUGGAAAAAAUAUAAACUUUAAUUUAGUAAAUCAUGGCUUUCAAAUUUUAAUUUUAGCAUUUCAAUUAAAACAAUUUUUUACUUAGUUUUUUCCACUUAAAUUUUAAUUUAAUAUGAAUAAUUAUACAAUAUCUUUGGGAGAGAUUUUAUUAGGUAAAAGGAAAAACACGAAAAUUUAAGAAGAGAUUAAAUGAACAAAAAGUUAUUGUAGUUAGUGCCAGUUAGUGUCGAGUCAACGGAUAUUAAUUAAAUUGAGUAAUUAUUAAAAGUUUUUUUUUUAUAAAGUAACAUUGGUGUUUUUAUAUUUUUAUAUAAAAUUUAUAAAAAAAAUCAUUCUAGAAAUAUUUUCUAUUUUUAAAAAUUCAAAAAUACGUUUAAUAAAUAAAAGUAAAAAAAUAUUUUUAAUAUUGAAAAAAUAUAUAUAAAAAUAAAUUAUUACAUUUAUAUGAAUUCCAGAUAAUAUAUUUGAUUUAUAUAUUUCUUUUCUUUUUUUUAAUAAAAAUACACUAGUUGGCUUUUAUUAGAAGGAGAGAAAAACAUCAGAAUCUAGCUAACAAACUUAAAUGCCCAUUAGAUACAAGAUAAAGACCUGAAAAGUUUUGUCCUCUCCUACCCUUUAACCAGAUCAGUAAACACACCCGUUCAUUCCCAAAACACAUAUAGCAGUGUGGUUAAAAUUCAGAUCCAGGAUUGAAGCUAAUGAAGCUGGUAGAACCUCUAACUCGAAUUUUACAAUUUUUAUUAAUUUUUGGUUAAUUUUCAUUUUUUUACCUUAACAUUUCUCAUAUAAAUCAUAUCUUUUUUUCUCAUAAAAAUUUAAUGUCUUUUUAUCAUUUAUUCUAAAAAUACCUAUCUCUAUUAUUUUGAUUAAAUUCUCAUAUCAUACAUUCCAAUCACUAACAUUCUAACUUAAUUUUUUAAAAUACAAAUAAAAUUAAUAUUAAAACUUACCUCUUUUAUAAAAAAAAAAUUCCCCUUUGCUUCUCUUCACUUCUCUUCCUCAACUUUAUGAUUAUUCUUCUUCUUUUUUCAAAAAAUAUUUCUUUACUUCCAUCUACUAAUUUCUUACUAUUAAGUUGAUGAACAUGCUUUUUAAAGUCUUUAUUUAAUUUUUCUUCUUUGGUGUCUAUGAAAAUUUCUAAGAAAAUUUUUAAAAGAAAUAGCGAAAUUAUAUGACAAGGGAUUAAAUUGUAAGAAAGACAAAAUUUCCUUUCCAUUUAUAAUGAUGGUGGCGUUGGAUGAAAAAGCAUAAAGAGAACUUUUAUAAUAAUUUUUUUAACAACGAUUUAAAUUAAAUAUUUAAUAAUAAAUGCGAAAGCAAUCAUGAUAAUUGCAAGAUGCUCUUGAGAAAAUUCUUCCAUUAUGCAAGCUAAACAUAUACAAAAUAAACAUAAAUUAGUUGAUAAUUUCGAAAACUAUUAAUUCUCCAAAUAAUGAAAACUAAUAUAUAUAUAUAUAUAUAUAUGCACGCGCGAUCAUUGUGAAAUCACAAUAUUUAAUUUUUAUAAUAAACUUUAUUCUUAAUAAAUAUUUGGAUCAAAUAUUUAAUAAUAAAAUUUAAUUGAUAAUUUUAAAUUAUUUUUAAUUUUUAAUUUUAAUUGAAAGCAAUUUUUUUAAAAUUUUUUUGUCUUGUAUAUGUUUUCUAAAUAGAAUAAUGUAUAUAUAAAAAACAUUUAAAAAAAUACUUGAAAUCACAUUUUGUUUUAGCUAAAGGCUAACCCAUAUGAAUAUAAAAAAAAUAGUUGAUUUCAGGAAUUGGCUUUGAGCAAAAUUACAAAUAAUUAAAUUAUAAAAAUGUAAAACCAUAGGCAAUUUAACCCACAAGUCCUACACAACUUAAAUUGAACAAUUCUACUCAUAUUCUCAUGGGCGAAUCCAUAAAUUUUUUAGCAAGGGUCGUAAUCUAAUUAUAAUUUUUCAUAGAUAAAAAUAUAAGUUUAUCAUGUAUUAAUUUAUAAUUUCAUCAUUUUUGUAGGGACUAAAUGGAAAUUAUUUUCAUUUUUAGGGGGCUAAAGUGUAAUUUUACUAUAUUAAUUUAUAAUUUCUUUAUUUAUAAGAAGAUUGAAUUGAAAAUUUUUAUUUAGGGGGAAAGUUGUAACAGUUCGUUUUCAGUAAAAUCAGAACAGUAAUUUUGGGACCACAAAUCCAAGUUAGAAAUAAAAUUUAUUUUAAUAUUAUUGCAUGGUCUUCAUUAUGAUAGGAAAGAUGUAUGAAAAUUUUUAUAAGAAAAUUUUAUUGAUUUCAUGUUUAAUUGUUAGUAAGGACCAAAUUGCAUAAAGUGCAAAAGUUGAAUUCUAGUAGCUAGAAAGAUUAAAUAGCUACAGAAUUCAAAAUUUGAGGUCUUUAUAAGGCAAAUAGACCAUUAAGAGAAGUUAGUAGAUAUUUAUGAUGAUUCAUCCAUGGAAAUUUAAGAAAAAUUAAAUGACUAAAUUGGAAAGGGGGAAAAAUAAAAGAUGAUAAUUAAUUAAAAGAUAAAAAUAUCAUCUUAUUUCAUCAUCUUCCCUAAAUUUUUCUAUGGAAACCCUAGCUAAGAGAGAGAAAUUCAAGCAAGCUUAAUUGGGUAAGUAAUCGUGUCUCGUUUUUAGUAAUUUUAUAUUUUCGAGAUCGUAAUAACCUAAUCUAGUUAAUUUGGGGAUUAAUUUGCAAAGUUAUCAAAGUAUUAAAAAAUUUUCAUGGAUGAGUAUGCUGAAAUUUAUGGUAGAAAAUGAAAAGUUGUUGAUGGAUAAACAACUUUUGUAAAGGAAAUUUUCAUGAAAUUGUGAUUUAGGGAUUAAAUUGAAAAGAUGUAAAAUUCAUGGAAAAUUUCUGAUUUUUGUGAAAUACAUGGACUGUUAUUGUUAUAUGAAAAAUUUAGUUAGGCUUGGAAUAAGGAUUAAAUUGCAUGAAUUUCAUUUUCUGAGCCUAGAGACGAAAUUAGAAUUAAUCAAAAGUAUAGGGGCAAAAAUGAUUCUUUUGCCUAAGAUGUAAAUUGAAUUGAAUUGGAUAUGAAAUGUGUUAAGUUGAUGUUAAAUUCAUUUAUAUAGAUCCGGAAAGAUCAAAUAAGGAGCUAGAUCGAGGAAAAGAAAAAGUGUCCGAUUAGUGGAUUUCUAUAUACAAGCAAGUGUCGAGGUAAGUUCGUGUAACUAAAUUGUGUAUAUUUAUAUACUUGAGUUAAAUGUUGUAUAUGU
rnacentral:lncRNA from 1 species